rnacentral:rRNA from 1 species
UACCAGCACCCCGAGUGGUCGGGACGAUUAUUGGGCCUAAAGCAUCCGUAGCCGGUCAUGCAAGUCCUCCGUUAAAUCCACCUGCUUAACAGAUGGGCUGCGGAGGAUACUACAAGGCUAGGAGGCGGAAGAGGCAAGCGGUACUUAGUGGGUAGGGGUAAAAUCCUCUGAUCCAUUGAAGACCACCAGUGGCGAAGGCGGCUUGCCAAUACGCGCUCGACGGUGAGGGAUGAAAGCUGGGGGAGCAAACCGG